rnacentral:tRNA from 1 species
GAGUCGGUAGCUCAGUUGGUAGAGCGGUGAGCUUAUACCUCAUUGGUCGGGGGUUCGAGUCCCUCCCGACUCAC